rnacentral:rRNA from 1 species
UACAGAGGUCCCAAGCGUUGUUCGGAUUCAUUGGGCGUAAAGGGUGCGUAGGCGGCGCGGUAAGUCGGGUGUGAAAUCUCGGGGCUUAACUCCGAAACUGCAUUCGAUACUGCCGUGCUUGAGGACUGGAGAGGAGACUGGAAUUUACGGUGUAGCGGUGAAAUGCGUAGAUAUCGUAAGGAACAUCAGUGGCGAAAACGACUUCCUGGACCAAUACUGACGCUCAUGUGCGAAAGCGUGGGGAGCAAACAGG